rnacentral:rRNA from 1 species
CCUACGGGUGGCAGCAGUAGGGAAUAUUGGGCAAUGGACGCAAGUCUGACCCAGCCACGCCGCGUGAAGGAUGAUGCCCUAUGGGUUGUAAACUUCUUUUGUAUGGGAAGCGGUACCAUAAGAAUAAGCAUCGGCUAACUCCGUGCCAGCAGCCGCGGUAAUACGGAGGAUGCAAGCGUUGUCCGGAUUCAUUGGGUUUAAAGGGUGCGUAGGCGGAGAAUUAAGUCAGUGGUGAAAGCUCGCAGCUUAACUGUGAAAAUGCCAUUGAAACUGAUUUUCUUGAGUUCGAUUGAGGUAGAUGGAAUGUAUCAUGUAGCGGUGAAAUGCUUAGAUAUGAUACAGAACACCAAUUGCGAAGGCAGUCUACUAAGUGAACUGACGCUGAGGCACGAAAGCAUGGGGAGCAAACAGGAUUAGAUACCCUUGUAGUC